rnacentral:rRNA from 1 species
UACGAAGGGGGCUAGCGUUGCUCGGAAUCACUGGGCGUAAAGCGCACGUAGGCGGCUUUCUAAGUCAGAGGUGAAAUCCUGGAGCUCAACUCCAGAACUGCCUUUGAUACUGGGAAGCUUGAGUUCGGGAGAGGUGAGUGGAACUGCGAGUGUAGAGGUGAAAUUCGUAGAUAUUCGCAAGAACACCAGUGGCGAAGGCGGCUCACUGGCCCGAUACUGACGCUGAGGUGCGAAAGCGUGGGGAGCAAACAGG